UACGAAGGGGGCUAGCGUUGUUCGGAAUCACUGGGCGUAAAGCGCACGUAGGCGGCUUUGUAAGUUAGAGGUGAAAGCCCGGAGCUCAACUCCGGAAUUGCCUUUAAGACUGCAUCGCUUGAAUCCGGGAGAGGUGAGUGGAAUUCCGAGUGUAGAGGUGAAAUUCGUAGAUAUUCGGAAGAACACCAGUGGCGAAGGCGGCUCACUGGACCGGUAUUGACGCUGAGGUGCGAAAGCGUGGGGAGCAAACAGG
rnacentral:rRNA from 1 species